CAGCACCACACGGCUGAGUCUGGGACACCCGGGCCGGGAAUGGGUUUCCAGACAUUUGCAAGGAUCUCUGUCAGAGGCGAAAGUGCUGCUCUGCUGGAGCUGUGUUUGCUUUCACAGCAAUAUGAGAGCGUGAUUAGUAAAACAAGCCACAGGCUGAAACAGUGAAUUCAAAUAUCAUCACGUAUACCCUUGUGCUGUACAUUUCUUCUACAGAAAAUGUCAUUUUAACACAACGAUUCUGGGAGCGUGAACAACAUAGAUCCCAGACUAUCAUAAUACACAUAGUAUGUGCAGCAGUACUUAUACAGAGUCCUGAGUUUGGUGGGCAAAUAAGCGUGUGUCUUUAAACGAAUUCAAUCCACCGAAACACCGCUGCCCCGGAUCUGGUGCCGUUCACUCCGAUCCCAGCACACUUUACACAACAAUAAAUUAACCGAGGAAAGCGCCGUGCCAGCCCCAGGCACCCACAGGGCACCGCGCUGGCCCCGGAGCAGCUCUGCCGAGCGCCAUCUUGUGGCCGCACGCCCUGUAGUGGCAGCCCGCGGUGCCUGCCGGGAGCGGCCGCCAUGUCGCGCAAUGUGGGGUGCGGGGCGGGCCGGGUGGUGUUUGCUGCCGCCUCGUCCCGCUUGGGGCGGCUGGGCACUAACUGUGUACACGGGUUUGUCCUGCCCUAAUCGCACUGGAACAGCGAUGAGACACUUUAGACGUGUUACAUGUUUACCCGCUUUCCACAUUCCCAGUAUCUGGUGUCCCAGGUCCCUCUGCACGGUGGAUGUGCAGUGCCUUGUGCCACAUGCUCACCUGGUUUGCUGUUUAAGUUCUGUGUCAUGUGAUCCAGCAAACCCAGCUAACUUAAUGUCAGCAGGAAAACACCUGGAGGAGUUAUUAUACAUCACCCAGUAACUCUGAAGGAUAUUAAUGGAGAAAACAGCAAAAGACUUGAGUUCUUUUCCAUAGGGUACGAAGAGCACAGAAGUGAAAUUUUCAAAGAGUUGUAAACACCAGAGCAAAAUCAAUAGAGAUAUUAAACAA